UGCAGUAUGUGCAGGUCGCAAAUUGAAACGUUAUGGACCCAUGACUGCCACACCAACAGCCUGCACUAAAAUAAAUAAAUAAAUAAGCAAAUGAAGAGGUAUAUGCCCUUUCACCUAACAUAGCCUUAAACGCAGGAAAAUAAUUAACAGCAGCGUGCCAAUUUUAGAUGUGUAAUCAUUGAGGUGGAUGGCAGAAGAAAAAGCAGGGGCGGACAGAAACAGAGACUCAAAAGGAAAAAAAAUCAGAAUUAACGCUCCCCUCUGGCAACAACGGUGCUCGCCACCAGGUUAAAACGUCCUGAAGAAGCCAAAAGCCGCGUUACACCACCCAACUCCCGGGUCAGGGCUGGGCUAACCGGGCUCCGCGGCACCCCGGCGCCUGUGCCAGCCCGGCGGAGCAUCCGGAGCAGAGAGAAAAACAGGCGGCAGAUUGAAAGCUUCAUGGACUAUCAUCGCCAUCAGCAGCUGUGGGAGCAGGAGAAUUAGAAACAAGCUCUUUACGGAGGCUACCUGUGUCCUGCUGGGAGACCAGAGCAACUUCGAGGUGGAGGAGAGAAGCCUACUAGCUGUGCCUGGGAACUGCUCCUUGCCUUAGCCCCCACUUGUGUCCUCUAUGGGUCACUGCGGAGGUGAAGCCGAGACUUGUGGCUUCGUACUGAAGGAUGCAGGUGCCAAAUAUCAGCAAUACGUCUUCAUUGUAUGGGCCAAACAACAUUCCUGCUUCGUCAGCCUUCUGUAGGAUGGCACAGGGAUAAUACACAAUUGUUCCAGGUUCAGCCAACUGUGAUGCCUCAAGACAUAAAGCAUAUUCCCCUAAAGUAAUUUUGUUCUUUAUCCUUAAAGAACACAGCCAAACCCUCAAAACUACACAUUAACUUUAGUAGGACAACUGUAUUGCUAAUGCUUAACAGAUGCGAUUGAACCUUUUCUGUUAAAAUCCUCAGUUCCAGAAAUUUCCCUUGUUCUGACACUUUAAGAAGGUGAAAUUGUCCUUGAAAGGACAAAGUUCUUCCUUCCAGACUUGACAUAUUUUUCUAGAACCCUCCUACAUUGUACUUUGGUAUUUCAGUGUUGUGAAGUAUAGUAUCAGCUCAGUUCUGCAAAACUAUUGAGUUAUUGUACUGGUUAAUAAAGUGAAAUUUAUACAAGCUUAAUCACAUUUAUUAUUGCUGACAACAAUGCAGAUGUUCUGAAUGCUAAGUGAUUUUUUUAUAAAGAGUAUAAUUAAUUUUUCUGGCUCUUAGUGGUCAGUUCUGCCACUGAAAUGUAUUUAAUAAUAUGUAAAUCUGGGAUUUUGGGCAGCAAUUAAAAAUAAAGUUGCUGUAAUUUUA